UACCUAUGGAGGUGGGGCAGGA
rnacentral:piRNA from 1 species